GUGUCAGCAGCCGCGGUAAUACGGAGGGUGCAAACGUUGCUCGGAAUCAUUGGGCGUAAAGCGCGCGUAGGCGGCGAGGCAAGUUGGAUGUGAAAGCCCUGGGCUCAACCCAGGAUGUGCAUUCAAAACUGCCUUGCUUGAAUCUCGGAGGGGGUCAGGGAAUUCCCGGUGUAGAGGUGAAAUUCGUAGAUAUCGGGAGGAACACCAGUGGCGAAGGCGCUGACCUGGACGAUGAUUGACGCUGAGGCGCGAAAGCGUGGGGAGCAAACAGGAUUAGAAACCCCUGUAGUCC
rnacentral:rRNA from 1 species